rnacentral:rRNA from 1 species
CGUGUAGGCGGACUCGCAAGUCGGUUGUGAAAUCCCUGGGCUCAACCUAGGAACUGCAUCCGAAACUGCUUGUCUUGAGUAAUGGAGAGGGUGGCGGAAUUCCCGGUGUAGAGGUGAAAUUCGUAGAUAUCGGGAGGAACAUCAGUGGCGAAGGCGGCCACCUGGACAUUUACUGACGCUGAGACGCGAAAGCGUGGGGAGCAAACAGGAUUAGAUACCCGAGUAGUCC